UCCAAGAAAGCAUCCAAAGGGAUGUGCAGGGACACAUUUGCACUCCAUAUUACUGUCCUAUCAUAGCUUAGACUCAAGCAUGAGUGGUGCACAUUUAAAAACAGAGACAGCACACCCUUUAAAAACACAAGCAUCCUUCAAGUGAGCUGCAGGGCCGCAUUCAGUCCCAAUCUGCAGAGGACGGUAAAAUAUGCACCAAGCUAGCUGCUAACCCCCAUUAGAACCAGCGAGCACAUUUACAUUACAGUGAUUAUUAAAGAUCAGCUUUAAGGGUUUGUUGUGAAGCAUUUAAGUUGAGUUGAAGUUGGAGUUACCUGCAGAGAAAGGUCCACCGAAACGCGGUGUUUGCUCGGUGUUUUAGCCACCUAGCCUCUCAGUUAGCCUCACAGGCUGGAUGGAGGAAGCUCCAGAUCCGACCGAAGGUAACACAGUCCAGGGAUGAGAGCCGGAGAGAGACGGGGAGUAAAGAACCAGCAGCUGAGUCUUCACCGUCCUGUCAAUUCGCAAUCCCCAAUAUGUUAUUAAUGUCAUCCGUUUGAGGGGGGACGGCGCUACCGAUCCACUACUACUACUACAGGACCCUUUGUUCCUGCUGCCAGCCGAGACUCGAACAAACAAAGGCCCCGCCUCCUCCAGGCUCCUCCGCCCAUCCCAGCUCACAGACCGGGACCAACACAGGCCGGACUCCCUGACAGGGGCCCCCAAUCUGUGGUGUCCUAAACCUAAACCUGUUCCUACACCAGCGACCACAAGGGUGUUACAAGGCAGUGCACUCACUACAUCUUCCCGAGCCAACACACCCCCUCAAUGGGAGCUGACAUAUUGCACUGGUGGAGCCAGAGCUUGCGCAGACGUGAUCUGGCUGGUGGAGCUGCAGGGCUGACACUACAUCCCUACAGAGAUUUAUCUUACUGAAAAAAACCUCAAAAACCCUCAGCUAAUCUGGUACAGACUCCACAGCAGGAGUUGUAUUUGUCAACAGAGCUGUCAAUCAAUCAUCUUUUUGAGCGUCAAAUUAAAAAUAAAAUGAUAAAAACUCUCAGUUAAAUCAACAUGAUAAGGAGUAAAUAUACUGCAGAAACCAUGUUUUAGAAAAAUGUAUUUGAUGUGUAUUUCAAUUUCAUAGUUUGACCCAUGUCCCAUCUGUUAUGAUGGAGGGGGCGGGCUUUAAGGCCUAUAGUGCAGCUAAUCAACUGGGGGAGCUUUCAAAGUUUAGCUUCAUUUUGGACAGCUGUUGUUCUGUCUGUAGUUUCAAACAGUCUA